AUGGUGGCCAUUUAUUGGGGUAUUCAAUCUUGAGAUGUUGGCCAUUUAUUGGGGUCAUAAAACAUAGGUUGAUGUUUUAUCUAAUAAUGUUACCUGUUGUAAUCAAUCAGGGUUGAAGUUUUCAACUUGUAUGUUUCUUUAAAAUUUACCUGUACAGGUAACUUAGGUUUCUUUCAAAAUUGACAUUUCACCUUUUUUUGAAAAUGUAGAAUAAGACAUUGUUUUAGUCUUUGUUAAUUAAUAUUAUUUUUGAUUUUUCUGUCUUUGAAUUUAUUAAAAUUUAUUUUUUUUAAUUUUUAUUUGUUUUUAUUCAUUUUUGUAUGAUUUUGUUUCUUAUUCUUUUAAUGUCUUCUUAGUAAGAAUCUUGAGAAGCAAAAAGACAAAAAUGUCAAAGAUAAAGUUAUUGACUAGCAUUUGAAAGACAACAG
rnacentral:lncRNA from 1 species